CACGUAGGGUGCGAGCGUUGUCCGGAAUUAUUGGGCGUAAAGGGCUCGUAGGCGGUUUGUCGCGUCGGGAGUGAAAACUCAGGGCUCAACCCUGUUCGUGCUUCCGAUACGGGCAAACUAGAGGUAGGCAGGGGAGAACGGAAUUCCUGGUGUAGCGGUGGAAUGCGCAGAUAUCAGGAGGAACACCGGUGGCGAAGGCGGUUCUCUGGGCCUGUACUGACGCUGAGGAACGAAAGCGUGGGGAGCGAACAGG
rnacentral:rRNA from 1 species